AUGGGAGGAGGAUCCUGUCGGGUCAGGCGGUCGCAGCCGGGGCAGGUGUCUGGACGGGGGGGAAGGACAGGAGGUGGAGGGUGGCCGAGAGGCACGGGUGGUUGGCGGGGGAGGAAUAGGAAGGUGGGCGGCGGGAAGGUGGUUCUUCGGGGAAGGGAGGUGGGCACGGGGGAGGCCUUGCUCGCCUCGCACGGACACAGCAGGUGA
rnacentral:rRNA from 1 species